UGGGGAAUAUUGGGCAAUGGGGGCAACCCUGACCCAGCGACGCCGCGUGAGGGAAGAAGGCCUUCGGGUCGUAAACCGCUUUUGUACGUGAAGAAGCAGAUGACGGUAGCGUACGAAUAAGUCCCGGCUAACUACGUGCCAGCAGCCGCGGUAAUACGUAGGGGACGAGCGUUGUCCGGAAUUACUGGGCGUAAAGGGCGCGCAGGCUGCGCGUCGAGUCGGCUGUUAAAGAUCCGGGCUUAACCCGGUGAAGCGGUCGAGACCGACGAGCUGGAGUGCUGCAGAGGCAAGUGGAAUUCCCGGUGUAGCGGUGAAAUGCGUAGAUAUCGGGAAGAACACCGGUGGCGAAGGCGACUUGCUGGGCAGCAACUGACGCUGAGGCGCGAAAGCCAGGGGAGCAAACGGG
rnacentral:rRNA from 1 species